rnacentral:rRNA from 1 species
UGGGGAAUAUUGGACAAUGGGGGCAACCCUGAUCCAGCGAUGCCGCGUGUGUGAAGAAGGCCCUAGGGUUGUAAAAUCCUUUCGUCAGGGACGAUAAUGACGGUACCUGAAGAAGAAGCCCCGGCUAACUUCGUGCCAGCAGCCGCGGUAAUACGAAGGGGGCUAGCGUUGUUCGGAAUUACUGGGCGUAAAGCGCAUGUAGGCGGGUCGUUAAGUCGGGGGUGAAAUCCCGAGGCUCAACCUCGGAACUGCCUUCAAAACUGGCGACCUGGACCUAAGUAGAGGCAAGUGGAAUUGCGAGUGUAGAGGUGAAAUUCGUAGAUAUUCGCAGGAACACCAGUGGCGAAGGCGACUUGCUGGACUUAUGGUGACGCUGAGACGCGAAAGCGUGGGGAGCAAACAGGAUUAGAUACCCAAGUAGUCCCUGAGCGGGCUGGCAAGGCGCAU